UCCGGUUUGUCACCGGCAGUCUCGCAUGAGUCCCCAACUAAAUGCUGGCAACAUGCGACAGGGGUUGCGCUCGUUGCGGGACUUAACCCAACACCUCACGGCACGAGCUGACGACGACCAUGCAGCACCUGUGCUAGCCCCUUACGAACACGGGCUUUCACCCGCUUUAACUAGCAUGUCAAACCCAGGUAAGGUUCUUCGCGUUGCAUCGAAUUAAGCCACAUGCUCCGCCGCUUGUGUGAGCCCCCGUCAAUUCCUUUGAGUUUCAGCCUUGCGAACGUACUCCCCAGGUGGUGUGCUUACUGCGUUAACUGCGUCACGGACCCGCAAGGGCCCACAACUAGCACACAUCGUUUACAGCGUGGACUAC
rnacentral:misc_RNA from 1 species